AGCGAACGCUGGCGGCAGGCCUAACACAUGCCAGUCGAACGAACCUUUCGGGGUUAGUGGCGGACGGGUGAGUAACACGUGGGAACGUGCCUUUAGGUUCGGAAUAACUCAGGGAAACUUGUGCUAAUACCGAAUGUGCCCUUCGGGGGGAAGAUUAAUCGCCUUUAGAGCGGCCCGCGUCUGAUUAGCUAGUUGGUUGAGGUAAUGGCUCACCAAGGCGACGAUCAGUAGCUGGUCUGAGAGGAUGAUCAGCCACAUUGGGACUGAGACACGGCCCAAACUCCUACGGGAGGCAGCAGUGGGGAAUCUUGCGCAAUGGGCGAAAGCCUGACGCAGCCAUGCCGCGUGAAUGAUGAAGGUCUUAGGAUUGUAAAAUUCUUUCACCGGGGACGAUAAUGACGGUACCCGGAGAAGAAGCCCCGGCUAACUUCGUG
rnacentral:rRNA from 1 species